rnacentral:rRNA from 1 species
GACGAACGCUGGCGGCGUGCCUAAUACAUGCAAGUCGAGCGAGCUUGCCUAGAUGAUUUUAGUGCUUGCACUAAAUGAAACUAGAUACAAGCGAGCGGCGGACGGGUGAGUAACACGUGGGUAACCUGCCCAAGAGACUGGGGUAACACCUGGAAACAGAUGCUAAUACCGGAUAACAACACUAGACGCAUGUCUAGAGUUUGAAAGAUGGUUCUGCUAUCACUCUUGGAUGGACCUGCGGUGCAUUAGCUAGUUGGUAAGGUAACGGCUUACCAAGGCAAUGAUGCAUAGCCGAGUUGAGAGACUGAUCGGGCCACAUUGGGACUGAGACACGGGCCCAAACUCCUACGGGAGGCAGCAGUAGGGAAUCUUCGGCAAUGGGGCAACCCUGACCCGAGCAACGCCGCGUGAGUGAAGAAGGUUUUCGGAUCGUAAAGCUC